rnacentral:rRNA from 1 species
UACGGGGGGGGCAAGCGUUGUUCGGAAUUACUGGGCGUAAAGGGCUCGUAGGCGGCCAACUAAGUCAGACGUGAAAUCCCUCGGCUUAACCGGGGAACUGCGUCUGAUACUGGAUGGCUUGAGAUUGGGAGGGGGAUGCGGAAUUCCAGGUGUAGCGGUGAAAUGCGUAGAUAUCUGGAGGAACACCGGUGGCGAAGGCGGCAUCCUGGACCAACACUGACGCUGAGUGAGCGAAAGCCAGGGGAGCAAACGGG